UACGUAGGGUGCAAGCGUUGUCCGGAAUUAUUGGGCGUAAAGAGCUCGUAGGCGGUUUGUCGCGUCUGCUGUGAAAACUCGGGGCUUAACUCCGGGCCUGCAGUGGGUACGGGCAGACUAGAGUGCGGUAGGGGAGACUGGAAUUCCUGGUGUAGCGGUGAAAUGCGCAGAUAUCAGGAGGAACACCGGUGGCGAAGGCGGGUCUCUGGGCCGUAACUGACACUGAGGAGCGAAAGCGUGGGGAGCGAACAGG
rnacentral:rRNA from 1 species